GAGGAAGUAAAAGUCGUAACAAGGUUUCCGUAGGUGAACCUGCGGAAGGAUCAUUAGUCGCUUAAAAUGGUUGCCCUCUGUGCUGGCCCCCCCCGGGCAAGUGCACGUGGGUGACUUUCAUCCAACCCCUUGUGCACCUUUGGCCUCUUGUUGGUUUUGGCUGGCAGAGGAUUUUUACACACACACACUAGAAUGUAAUGAUAGACCACUCAGUGCGCGAGCACUGCUAAUGUACAACUUUCAACAACGGAUCUCUUGGCUCUCGCAUCGAUGAAGAACGCAGCGAAAUGCGAUAAGUAAUGUGAAUUGCAGAAUUCAGUGAAUCAUCGAAUCUUUGAACGCACCUUGCACCCUUUGGCAUUCCGAAGGGUAUGCUCGUUUGAGUGUCAUUGUAAUCUCACACUCUCCGAUUCGGGCUCGGAUUGGGAGCGGUGGACUUGGGUGUUGCUGCUUCACGGUGGCUCGCCUCAAAUGCAUUAGUGCAACUCUGAGUUGGACAUAGUACGGCGUGAUAAGUAUCUUCGCCGGCACCUCGUAAUAAGAGGGUGGCUAAUUUGGAGCGCUGUGCUUCUAACGGUCUUCGGACAAUCUCUGACAACUUGACCUCAAAUCGAGUAGGACUACCCGCUGAACUUAAGCAUAUCAAUAAGCGGAGGAAAAGAAACUAACAAGGAUUCCCUUAGUAACGGCGAGUGAAGAGGGAAGAGCUCAAAUUUUGAAUCUGGCGCCUUUGGCGUCCGAGUUGUAAUCUAGAGAAGUGUUUUCCGUGGCGGACCGUGCACAAGUCUCCUGGAAUGGAGCUGUCAUAGAGGGUGAGAAUCCCGUACAUGGCACGGACUCCCGUUGCUCUGCGAUACACUCUCGACGAGUCGAGUUGUUUGGGAAUGCAGCUCUAAUUGGGUGGUAAAUGCCAUCUAAAGCUAAAUAUUGGCGAGAGACCGAUAGCGAACAAGUACCGUGAGGGAAAGAUGAAAAGCACUUUGGAAAGAGAGUGAAACAGUACGUGAAAUUGUUGAAAGGGAAACGCUUGAAGUCAGUCGCGCCCUUCAGGAUUCAGCCUUGCUUCUGCUCGGUUUACUUCCUGUUGGGUGGGUCAACGUCAGUUUCAAUCGGAGGAGAAAGGCUUGGGGAAGGUGGCAGCACUUGUGCUGUGUUAUAGCCCCGUGUUGUAUACUUCGAUUGGGACUGAGGACCGCAGCGCGCCUUUACGGCCGGGGCUUGCCCACGUACGCGCU
rnacentral:rRNA from 1 species